GGAAAUGCCAUCUGUUGCCCAAAGGGAAUGUGGUUUGAGAAUUGCCGGAGGUGGAUGUCUGUCUGUGCCUGGAAAAAUUGAAAGGAUGGCCUUGUGGAGUAAAUGUCUGUAAUCAGAGCAAGUGAAUUGCAGAAGUUUUUAUCAUUGCAAUUCUAAGACAUCUCUGAGUUCUUAUCAUAGAAUGGCAAUGAGGUUUAAGUGACUUGCCCAGGGUCACACAGCUAGUAAGUG